AACGAACGCUGGCGGCAGGCUUAACACAUGCAAGUCGAGCGCCCCGCAAGGGGAGCGGCAGACGGGUGAGGAAUACGUAAGAACUUACCUUUUGGAGGGGGAUAACAACGGGAAAUUGUUGCUAAUACCCCAUAAUGCUGAGGAGCGAAAGGGAAACCACCAAAAGAGAGGCUUGCGUCUGAUUAGCUAGUUGGAGGAGGUAAAGGCUCCCCAAGGCGACGAUCAGUAGCUGGUCUGAGAGGAUGAUCAGCCACACUGGGACUGAGACAUGGCCCAGACUCCUACGGGAGGCAGCAGUGGGGAAUUUUCCACAAUGGGCGAAAGCCUGAUGGAGCAAUACCGCGUGAGGGAUGAAGGAUCGUGGUCUGUAAACCUCUUUUCUUAACGAAGAAGUUCUGACGGUAGUUAAGGAAUAAGCACCGGCUAACUCCGUGCCAGCCGCCGCAGUAAGAC
rnacentral:rRNA from 1 species